CCAUAGAUGUCAACUAGCUGUUGGGGCCGUUAGGCCUUAGUAGCGCAGCUAACGCGUGAAGUUGACCGCCUGGGGAGUACGGUCGCAAGAUUAAAACUCAAAGGAAUUGACGGGGACCCGCACAAGCGGUGGAUGAUGUGGAUUAAUUCGAUGCAACGCGAAAAACCUUACCUACCCUUGACAUGUCUGGAAAGCCGAAGAGAUUUGGCCGUGCUCGCAAGAGAACCGGAACACAGGUGCUGCAUGGCUGUCGUCAGCUCGUGUCGUGAGAUGUUGGGUUAAGUCCCGCAACGAGCGCAACCCUUGUCAUUAGUUGCUACGCAAGAGCACUCUAAUGAGACUGCCGGUGACAAACCGGAGGAAGGUGGGGAUGACGUCAAGUCCUCAUGGCCCUUAUGGGUAGGGCUUCACACGUCAUACAAUGGUCGGGACAGAGGGUCGCCAACCCGCGAGGGGGAGCCAAUCUCAGAAACCCGAUCGUAGUCCGGAUCGCAGUCUGCAACUCGACUGCGUGAAGUCGGAAUCGCUAGUAAUCGCGGAUCAGAAUGUCGCGGUGAAUACGUUCCCGGGUCUUGUACACACCGCCCGUCACACCAUGGGAGUGGGUUUCACCAGAAGUAGGUAGCCUAACCGUAAGGAGGGCGCUUACCACGGUGGGAUUCAUGACUGGGGUGAAGUCGUAACAGG
rnacentral:rRNA from 1 species